rnacentral:lncRNA from 1 species
AACGAUGCUUACUCAGUGCCACAACCGUACAUGUGCACGCAACCGACCAAACCCACGUGACAGUCCUAUCUGAUUUCAGGCGUGGCGACCCGCUCAGCCGAAACGUGCAAAAAGUUAAUAAAUCAAAUCCCAACUCUCCCUCUCGCUCCCACUUUCCCAACUGAAAAACUUCCCUCAAAAGUUCAAAUUCUUUCAAAGUAACCUUCUUCAAUUCGCGAUCCAAAAAUAGACUCUCAAAUUUUCAAGAAAUGGGUCUGAGAAUUGUAUACGGCGUCGUUUUCCUCUCGAUCUCCUGCGCCUGCUUCAAGCUUCUGCAUCUCUUUCUUCAUCCAGUCUUUUACUUAACUUCCUGAUUGGGCAACGAAGAGUGAAUUUUUCAGCUCAAAAGCUCAUUUAGGUAUCUUUCUUUGAUAUGUUAAUGUAAUCUUAAUCCAUACUUGGUUUUUUGUGUCUGUUCAAUGGGUUAAAGAUGAUGUGAUUGUAUUAUCAGUACUAUUGUUAUUGGUUUGUUGUAGAUUGUGUUACAUUGCUAUGGGAUCUUAAGAUGUAAUAUUUAUUUUUUUUUUUCCUUUCCGAUACAAAUUGUUGAAAGACUUGAUUUGAUUUGUGAAUGUGAUUUGGUUUUAUUUUAUUUUGUUUUGUGAUCUAAUCUAUGGCUGAAACCAUGCCUUCAUACUUUGAUCAUUCACCAUGCAAUUGGAUGUCUGUACAUUACACUUAGAAAAUUGAAAUUAGCGAUUUGUUUUGGGGUUUGAGUGUUUUAUGUUCUUUAUUAGGUUUGAUGCUGAUUAUUACCAGUCGGUUUGUUGAUUUGGUAAAUAAUCAAUUAUGGAAUUCUAUCUAAUUUUAAAUUAUUGAGAUUAAAUUAUAUCCAUAUCAAAUAUGUUUUUUUUUUUUUUUGGUAAAACUUUAAUUGAAAUUAAAGAAUUAUCUACCCAUUCCAAAUAUAUAUAUAUAUAUAUAUUACACUAUGAAUAAUUAAUAAUUGAAGUAAUUUUUUUUUAAAAAAAAGGUAAUUGAGUUUAUUAAAUAACACUCUAGAGCAUUUUGUUUAAUAUUUUAAAAUUUGAACUACAAUUAUAAAUUUUGUUUAGGGGUAAUUCAAGAAUCUACGGCAUGGGCUUAUUCGGGGGGCAAUGGUUACCCUUUCAAUCUUUCACGGCAUUUGGUGUAUUUGGCCACAGCCCCAAUAUGGAUCAACAUAGACUCUGGUAAUUGAAAAUGAUAAAUAUUUUACGAAUACGUACGUGAUACGUAUGAUACCUGACCUACAUGAAAAAUAUAAAGAAAUAGAGAACUAAAUAAAUAAAUAAAUAAUUUGUAUUAGGUAAAUUAAUAUCAUAAUAUUCUUUUACUACCGUAGUUGUAAGUUGCUUGCUUGCAGACUAUUUGUCACUGCAUAAGUAUAUCGCUCAGCCGAAGUUAUUGGCGGAAAGUGGAAUUGUAAUGAGGUUAUCUAGAAAUAGAGCUCAGACAGUUAAUAAGGGCCCGUUUGGUAUUGUUUCUGAAUUAGUAUUUUCUGAAAAUAAAAAUGAGAAUAAAAAUAGUGUUUUGC